rnacentral:rRNA from 1 species
UACGUAGGGUGCAAGCGUUGUCCGGAAUUAUUGGGCGUAAGGGCUCGUAGGCGGUCCAUCGCGUCGGGAGUGAAAAGCUGGGGCUCAACCCCAGUCCUGCUUUCGAUACGGGUGGACUAGAGGUAGGCAGGGGAGAACGGAAUCCUGGUGUAGCGGUGAAAUGCGCAGAUAUCAGGAGGAACACCGGUGGCGAAGGCGGUUCUCUGGACCGACACUGACGCUGAGGCGCGAAAGCGUGGGAGCAAACAGG